rnacentral:snRNA from 1 species
GGGUGUGAGGACAAUCUGGCUGUGAUAUCUGUCACCCCACUGAUCGCCAAGGUUGACUUGGCUGAUCUGGCUAGCUGAGUAGGUGUCCCCACCCUGCCUCACUGGUCCAUGUGCAUCUCUCCCAAAGCUGUAUGUUCAGUCAGAGAGAACAACCUUCCCCUGCAAAAGGAAGAUUAUUCUUCUGUCCAGGGAACAAUGCUAGAACCUCCAAACAAGCCCCCCAACGCCUCACCAACAGAAGAAUACCAGCGGCCAGUGCCACGUGUUGUACACUGCUGUGG